UACGUAGGGUGCAAGCGUUAAUCGGAAUUACUGGGCGUAAAGCGUGCGCAGGCGGUUCGCUAAGACCGAUGUGAAAUCCCCGGGCUUAACCUGGGAACUGCAUUGGUGACUGCAUUGCUGGAGUAUGGCAGAGGGGGGUGGAAUUCCACGUGUAGCAGUGAAAUGCGUAGAGAUGUGGAGGAACACCGAUGGCGAAGGCAGCCCCCUGGGCCAAUACUGACGCUCAUGCACGAAAGCGUGGGGAGCAAACAGG
rnacentral:rRNA from 1 species